UGAAUAAUAGUUAAAAUAUUAUAACAUUUAAUUUGCACUUAAAAAUUAUUUUUCYUAAAAAAUUUAUUUUU
rnacentral:tRNA from 1 species